GUUUGUCGUCGAGCACAUUCCGAAUCACAGAUGAAAGCGCUGCGCAGCUGUACAGGCGUCUCCCCCAUUGUUAAACGGGGACUCCCGUGCCGUCUUCUCGCGUCUCAUUUCGAGCUUCCCAAACGGCCAGUCUCUUAAACCAAUAUAGUUGUCAGUGGUCAGGCUGGUUUGGAGGAAGAAUUCUUUCUGGUAAGUAGUACCACGGCUGUCUGCUCACCCCACGCCGUUCUUGGGCUGGGCAUGUAGACGCCUUUCGUACAUACUCGGGACUGCUGUCGUGCAUCAUAGGUUUGCGGGUGAAAAGGCUUCUGUGUUUUAGAAGAAGGAAGGUUGUACGUUGGAGAGAGUGCGCGUGGGUUCAGCGAAUUACCUAGGGAACUCUCGUAUAUGAGAUUAGAGGAGCUGGAAUUGACUCCUAACAGUUUGGAAACGAAGACAUGUUCGAAGGGAACCACUGCUUAACCUGACAAGCUGUGCCCUGUGAAAAGCUGUUGAGGAGCGACACUGAGCGAAAGUGUACACUUUCCACACAGCCUUGCCGCAGUUCGCACUGCCUCAUGUUUCAUGUUCUUGCAAGCAGGUGCCUGCAGCAAGUGCUGAAGCGUCCCUGUCUCGUGGGGUGCAGGGGAGCGAACCUUGUUAGCCCCUACCCCGGUAGACUGAACGGUGUUCCACGCCCAUUCGAGUACAAGCAAGGAAUUGUCUCUCAGAGGCGAAAGGAAGCAUUUCUUUCAGUUGAGCAUUUGCACUUUUUGAGCUAAAAAGACAGCUGCUGAUCUGCUGCACGAGUGAAAAGUGGUGUGGACCCCACACAAUGUGCAUAGAAGAAGAAUGCGACCUCUUUAUGAUUUCGUCGCGGCACUUCGAGGGGAAGAUAGAAACAAUGUUGCAUUGCAGAUAGUGUAUGCACCUGGACAGGAUAGUGUAGAAGCACACAUUUGGAACUGGAAAUGCUGGGAAGCAC
rnacentral:lncRNA from 1 species